rnacentral:rRNA from 1 species
UACGGGGGGGGCAAGCGUUGUUCGGAAUUACUGGGCGUAAAGGGCUCGUAGGUGGCCAACUAAGUCAGACGUGAAAUCCCUCAGCUUAACUGGGGAACUGCGUCUGAUACUGGAUGGCUUGAGUUCGGGAGAGGGAUGCGGAAUUCCAGGUGUAGCGGUGAAAUGCGUAGAUAUCUGGAGGAACACCGGUGGCGAAGGCGGCAUCCUGGACCGAUACUGACGCUGAGGAGCGAAAGCCAGGGGAGCAAACGGG